UGGGGAAUAUUGGACAAUGGGCGCAAGCCUGAUCCAGCCAUGCCGCGUGAGUGAUGAAGGCCCUAGGGUUGUAAAGCUCUUUCACCGGUGAAGAUAAUGACGGUAACCGGAGAAGAAGCCCCGGCUAACUUCGUGCCAGCAGCCGCGGUAAUACGAAGGGGGCUAGCGUUGUUCGGAUUUACUGGGCGUAAAGCGCACGUAGGCGGACUUUUAAGUCAAGGGUGAAAUCCCGGGGCUCAACCCCGGAACUGCCUUUGAUACUGGGAGUCUUGAGUAUGGUAGAGGUGAGUGGAAUUCCGGGUGUAGAGGUGAAAUUCGUAGAUAUUCGGAGGAACACCAGUGGCGAAGGCGGCUCACUGGACCAUUACUGACGCUGAGGUGCGAAAGCGUGGGGAGCAAACAGG
rnacentral:rRNA from 1 species